AAUAUUUCGCAAUGGAGGGAACUCCGACGCAGUGACGCCGCGUGAGCGAUGAAGGUUUUCGGAUCGUAAAGCGCUGUCCUUGGGGAAGAAGGCGGCCAUGUAUGGCCACUUGACGGUACCCAACGAGGAAGCCCCGGCUAACUACGUGCCAGCAGCCGCGGUAAUACGUAGGGGGCAAGCGUUGUCCGGAAUUAUUGGGCGUAAAGGGUGCGUAGGCGGCCUUUUAAGUUAGAUGUGAAAGCCCACGGCUUAACCGUGGGACUGCAUUUGAAACUGGAGGGCUUGAGUAUCGGAGAGGGUAGUGGAAUUCCCAGUGUAGCGGUGGAAUGCGUAGAUAUUGGGAGGAACACCAGUGGCGAAGGCGACUACCUGGACGAAAACUGACGCUGAGGCACGAAAGCUAGGGGAGCAAACA
rnacentral:rRNA from 1 species